AACGAACGCUGGCGGCAGGCUUAACACAUGCAAGUCGAACGGGUGUCGCAAGACAUCAGUGGCAGACGGGUGAGUAACACGUGGGAACCUUCCUAGGGGUACGGAACAACUCAGGGAAACUUGAGCUAAUACCGUAUACGUCCGUAAGGAGAAAGAUUCAUCGCCCCUAGACGGGCCCGCGUCGGAUUAGGUAGUUGGUGGGGUAACGGCCUACCAAGCCUACGAUCCGUAGCUGAUCUGAGAGGAUGAUCAGCCACACUGGGACUGAGACACGGCCCAGACUCCUACGGGAGGCAGCAGUGGGGAAUCUUGGACAAUGGGCGCAAGCCUGAUCCAGCCAUGCCGCGUGAGUGAAGAAGGCCUUAGGGUUGUAAAGCUCUUUUACCAGGGACGAUAAUGACGGUACCUGGAGAAUAAGCCCCGGCAAACUUCGUGCCAGCAGCCGCCGCGGUAAC
rnacentral:rRNA from 1 species